CAGGACCCUCCUUAAGUGCGAAUGCACUAACAACCCUUCACCAAAUACUUCUGACUUUAAUAAGUGACUCAGGAUAGUCCCCAAGUACACCGCGUGGCACAGGACCCUCCUUAAGUGCGAAUGCACUAACAACCCUUCACCAAAUACUUCUGACUUUAAUAAGUGACUCAGGAUAGUCCCCAAGUACACCGCGUGGCACAGGACCCUCCUUAAGUGCGAAUGCACUAACAACCCUUCACCAAAUACUUCUGACUUUAAUAAGUGACUCAGGAUAGUCCCCAAGUACACCGCGUGGCACAGGACCCUCCUUAAGUGCGAAUGCACUAACAACCCUUCACCAAAUACUUCUGACUUUAAUAAGUGACUCAGGAUAGUCCCCAAGUACACCGCGUGGCACAGGACCCUCCUUAAGUGCGAAUGCACUAACAACCCUUCACCAAAUACUUCUGACUUUAAUAAGUGACUCAGGAUAGUCCCCAAGUACACCGCGUGGCACAGGACCCUCCUUAAGUGCGAAUGCACUAACAACCCUUCACCAAAUACUUCUGACUUUAAUAAGUGACUCAGGAUAGUCCCCAAGUACACCGCGUGGCACAGGACCCUCCUUAAGUGCGAAUGCACUAACAACCCUUCACCAAAUACUUCUGACUUUAA